rnacentral:rRNA from 1 species
UACGUAGGUGGCAAGCGUUGUUCGGAAUUACUGGGCGUAAAGGGCGCGUAGGCGGCACGGCAAGUCGGGAGUGAAAGGCCUGGGCUCAACCGAGGAACUGCUUUCGAGACUGCCGAGCUAGAGUGCGGAAGGGGCAACUGGAAUUCCCAGUGUAGCGGUGAAAUGCGUAGAUAUUGGGAAGAACACCGGAGGCGAAGGCGGGUUGCUGGGCCGACACUGACGCUGAGGCGCGAAAGCCAGGGGAGCAAACGGG